rnacentral:rRNA from 1 species
GUGUAGUUGGAAGUGGCGGUGGAGGAGGAGGUAGCCAACACUGUUUUUUAUGGGUUUUUUUUUUAUUGUGGCAGCCCCCAAAAUAUUGGGACAUAUAAAAAAGACAACUCUGUUCCGCAGAGUAGCUGUUGACAUUAUAGUUGCGCAGGCACUUUGUUGACUCUAGAGAACCUCGGGCCAAUCGCACAUCCCUGUGAUGGCGACUUUGCAUUCGGAUGUCAUCCAUAUCAACUUUCAAUGCCAGUUUCUACACCUACCAUGGUGACCACGGGUAACGGGGAAUCAGGGUUCCAUUCCGUACAGGGACCCUGAGAAAUGGCUACCACAUGCAAGGAAGGCA